rnacentral:rRNA from 1 species
CCCUUAGAUGUUCUGGGCCGCACGCGUGCUACACUGACCGGCGCAACAAGUUUCUUUCCUUGGCUCGAUAGGCCUGGGUAAUCUUUGAACGCCGGUCGUGAUGGGGAUAGAUCCUUGCAAUUAUUAAUCUUCAACGAGGAAUGCCUAGUAAGCGCAAGUCAUCAGCUUGCGUUGAUUACGUCCCUGCCCUUUGUACACACCGCCCGUCGCUCCUACCGAUUGAAUGGUCCGGUGAAGCGUUCGGACCGUGGCCUUUGGACGGUUCGCCGUCUGUUGGCUGCGGGAAGUUCGUUAAACCUUAUCAUUUAGAGGAAGGAGAANUCGUAACA